GGGUAUUGAGCUAAGUGGUCAAAGUACCUGCCUGGCAAGCAGAAGGUCAGGACUUCAAUCCCUCAUACCAA
rfam:Cavia porcellus supercont2_149 genomic scaffold, whole genome shotgun sequence.